UACGUAGGGUGCAAGCGUUGUCCGGAAUUAUUGGGCGUAAAGAGCUCGUAGGCGGUCUGUCGCGUCGGCUGUGAAAACCCGGGGCUCAACCCCGGGCCUGCAGUCGAUACGGGCAGACUAGAGUGCGGUAGGGGAGACUGGAAUUCCUGGUGUAGCGGUGAAAUGCGCAGAUAUCAGGAGGAACACCUGUGGUGUAGACAGCUUACUGGACCAUUUCUGACGCUGAGACACGAAAGCGUGGGGAGCAAACAGG
rnacentral:rRNA from 1 species